AGUGAACGCUGGCGGUAGGCCUAACACAUGCAAGUCGAACGGCAGCACAGUAAGAGCUUGCUCUUACGGGUGGCGAGUGGCGGACGGGUGAGGAAUACAUCGGAAUCUACUUUUUCGUGGGGGAUAACGUAGGGACACUUCCGCUAAUACCGCAUACGACCUACGGGUGAAAGCAGGGGAUCUUCGGACCUUGCGCGAUUGAAUGAGCCGAUGUCGGAUUAGCUAGUUGGCGGGGUAAAGGCCCACCAAGGCGACGAUCCAUAGCUGGUCUGAGAGGAUGAUCAGCCACACUGGAACUGAGACACGGUCCAGACUCCUACGGGAGGCAGCAGUGGGGAAUAUUGGACAAUGGGCGCAAGCCUGAUCCAGCCAUACCGCGUGGGUGAAGAAGGCCUUCGGGUUGUAAAGCCCUUUUGUUGGGAAAGAAAAGCAGCAUGUUAAUACCCCGCUGUUCUGACGGUACCCAAAGAAUAAGCACCGGCUAACUUCGUG
rnacentral:rRNA from 1 species